GGACUACCGGGGUAUCUAAUCCCAUUCGCUCCCCACGCUUUCGUCCUAGCAGUGUCAAGAGGCACCCAGAAGCCUGCCUUCGCUAUUGGUGUUCCAAACGAUAUCAACGCAUUUCACUACUACACCGUUUGUUCCAGCUUCCUCUUUGCCCUUCAAGUUUACAAGUAUCAAAAGACAGUCUCCCAGUUAAGCUGAGAGAUUUCACUUCUGACUUUGUAAACCACCGAUCGGUACGCUUUACGCCCAAUGAUUCCGGAUAACGCUUGAGGUCUCUGUAUUACCGCGGCGGCUGGCAC
rnacentral:rRNA from 1 species